CUGAUACCGGACGGGCAGGAGAGGGGCAUCCCUCUCCUGUGAAAGGCCCUGCAAGGGGCCGCGAGGGGAUGGGUCUGCGGUGCAUUAGCUAGUUGGCGGGGCAGCGGCCCACCAAGGCGACGAUGCAUAGCCGGCCUGAGAGGGCGGACGGCCACAUUGGGACUGAGACACGGCCCAGACUCCUACGGGAGGCAGCAUG
rnacentral:rRNA from 1 species